rnacentral:rRNA from 1 species
UACGUAGGUGGCAAGCGUUGUCCGGAAUUAUUGGGCGUAAGGCGCGCGCAGGCGGCCUUUUAAGUCUGAUGUGAAAGCCCACGGCUCAACCGUGGAAGGUCAUUGGAAACUGAAAGGCUUGAGUACAGAAGAGGAAAGCGGAAUUCCACGUGUAGCGGUGAAAUGCGUAGAGAUGUGGAGGAACACCAGUGGCGAAGGCGGCUUUCUGGUCUGUAACUGACGCUGAGGCGCGAAAGCGUGGGGAGCAAGCAGG